rnacentral:rRNA from 1 species
ACGCUGGCGGCAUGCCUUACACAUGCAAGUCGAACGGCAGCAUGAUCUAGCUUGCUAGAUUGAUGGCGAGUGGCGAACGGGUGAGUAAUACAUCGGAACGUGCCCUGUAGUGGGGGAUAACUAGUCGAAAGAUUAGCUAAUACCGCAUACGACCUGAGGGUGAAAGUGGGGGACCGCAAGGCCUCAUGCUAUAGGAGCGGCCGAUGUCUGAUUAGCUAGUUGGUGGGGUAAAGGCCCACCAAGGCGACGAUCAGUAGCUGGUCUGAGAGGACGAUCAGCCACACUGGGACUGAGACACGGCCCAGACUCCUACGGGAGGCAGCAGUGGGGAAUUUUGGACAAUGGGCGAAAGCCUGAUCCAGCAAUGCCGCGUGUGUGAAGAAGGCCUUCGGGUUGUAAAGCACUUUUGUCCGGAAAGAAAUGGCUCUGGUUAAUACCUGGGGUCGAUGACGGUACCGGAAGAAU